CCGCCGGUCAAACGCUUCACGAUUUGCGUGUCACCCGUGCGCAGGGGCCAUGCUAAUCUUCUUUGCAUCAUUUCAAUUCUAGUAUAUGUACCUCCGAAGCAAGUAC
rnacentral:snRNA from 1 species